CUUCGGUGCUCCUUUCCCGAGGACUGAGGUGAAAAAAAAUAUUUAUUCUGUAAAAAUAUCCUUUCUUUUGUCCCGAGGAGAUCUGUUUUUUUCUUGGUAGACAACCCUUUUCGGAACUUUGGAUGGAUCGGAUGCGGGGGUUCUUCUUUCGUACCUCGCGGACCCGAAGAUCAAAGGACUUACUUCUUUUAAAUUCUUUGUAUUCUUGAUUGAUGAACCCGAUGCUUCAUCUUCAUUAUCAGCACAAACAUUCUUGGAUAAGUUAUCUUAGAUCUUAUCAAUUCAUGUGUUCACCUCGGGAAUCUCGUGGUCAUCUAAAGAGACGGCUAACCUUUCUUCUCUGGACAUUCCGAAGCUGAUUUGACUACUUUGACAGUGAUUGACAGUUCCACAUCUUAGGACAAACAUAAGAUGACUCAUAAAAUAUAAAUUUUCACAUUGGAAGAAGUUAGGUCUAGAUAGCUGUGAAUGAGUCUUCCUCAGAAAUUCUGGAACCCUUACUAAAAUUUCAUUCUAAGCCAUUACAAAGCUGAUUGGAUUACCUCGACAACAAAUUAUUAAUUCUACAAAUUAUGAUGACAUAUGAUCUAUGGCAUGGACGAAUCCAUUGCCUCAGUAUGCAUACAAUGUAACUAAGAAUUUGCAAGCAAGCAUCAGGUGUUCAGAGUCUAGUUUGUCUGACCAUGAAUUCCGCACCCAUUGCCUUCUACAAAUGAUAUGCAAUUGAAGAAAUGAGAUACAAUCUGCAAAUAAUUUAUGCAAGCUAAUCUAUGCUAAGAAGCCUUAUGUCUGAAACUGCAACUAGAUUACCUAAUGUUCCAUGCGAACAGUGAUUGACAACUAUUUAAGGAAUUCACAGUUAAAUAAGUCAAAGAUUGUCCUGAUAGAAUUCGGCCGAAGUCAUUAAAAUUGAAUGUUAUUAAUUAUCAAAAUAAAUUAACAAUAGCUAUAACCAAUUAUACAUUAUAUGCAGCAUCACCUAAUAUCAAUGAAAAGGUUCUGGUAGUUAUUUUUUGAUUCUAUAUGUAGAAAUUCCAAAUAUCAUCUACUUUUAUAUAUUUCUUCCAUGCUAGAAAAGUACAUUGUCAAGAACGAUGAAAAUCCAUCAAUAAGCUUUCUUGAAUUUUUUUUUUAUGUCACGAUAAGCGAUAUUUAAUCUAGUAAUAGAAUUAAAGAAUAAUCAUCUUUGAUUUAAAGCCCAGCAGUAUUCAAAUAUGCAAGUUAUGCAAAUAUGGAAGUACAGUUAUCUAAUGACAUAAGAAAUAAUCGAUGAUUUAGUUAUUUCAAUAUUGUCAUAUAUUUUUAAAUGGUCAGUGAAUGACACGUUGUCUUCAAAACAAUGAUGGUGAAAUCUCUCUUAACCAUUACAUGACCGUUACAAGACGGUCGAAGUUAAUAUUUAAUGCAACGAAAAUAAUUUUCAAGUAGAGUUGUAUUUAAGCAUUACUACAUUGAUUAUAAAAAUUCUUAUUGUCAUUUUUCUAAAAUAAGUUAAAAUCAAAAGGAGAAAAAAGAAAGAAAUCAUAUAAUAAAAUGUCUGUUUGAAAACACUAUUGAUAAUUUGCUAACUGCCGUUGCUGGAAUUGAGAAAACUAGACUGAAGACAAUAUAUCACAGUAUUUUGUAAUAACUGAAAUGAAAUAAUGGGGAAUGAUUCUGUGUUUCUCACUAAAACAAUUCCCAACUCUAUCAAAAAUAUCCCAAUUUCUUUGUUUAUGUUAAAAAUAUUUGUUCUUCUGCUAAUUUUGUUGGUUUGGAAGAAAUGAUUUGAUAAAAAUAUGAGCUAAAAGAAUCAGCUACGAAGAGGAAAAGCUGCUUUUAGCAAAUUUUUCUAGCUUUUACGAAAUCGAAGAAAAUGAAAUCAAAUUUUUGAACUGUCUACAUUAAAUUAUAGUCGAUCAGAUAUUUUGUGCCAUGUCAAAAAUUUCCAUUGCCAAACCCUUUAUGAAAACUUCAUAACCAAUUUUGUAACUUUUACAAAAAAUCGCCAAAAUUGUUACAAAGUGUAUGCAAAUUCUAUCAUUGUUGUGCAAUUUAUGAAAGUUGAACUCUACAUUAUUUUCUGAAAUGUCUGCCACGUGUUUCAACAAUUGGCUACUAACUGCAGUUAGUUCCCCUACGUUGUAGAAGAGUAUAUUUCAACAGAUGGAUAGAAAAAUGAAAAAACUUCCUUGACAAACGAUGUAAGGAUCUUUAUUGGAUGAUAAGUUUGUGGAAUAUGGGAAAAAUAAAGUUUUCUUCUGAAGAGAAAGAAAGAGGAUCUGAUAAUGAAUUGUUCCCAUAAUAAAAGAUUUUGAUUGAAUAUUCGAAGUUCUUCAUUAUUCAUCAUUAUUUUUUCAAAUGAUGCAAGGGUUUUUCCUUUUAUUUCUCAAAGGUAAUCUCUUUUACACUGAGCAGUAAGGUUGAAUCCGAUACAUAGUGUCAUAAAGCUCAAACUCCUUGAUAAAGUAACUCUCUGAAUUGGAUGGAGAGAUAGGAAUCAAUGCAGGUAAGACGAGAUGAUGUUCUUUCUGAAAAAGAGGAAAACUUAGACUAUCUCUACAUUCUUCUCGUCAUUCAUUUUGUCGAAUUUUGUAAAAAAGAACGAAUUUUAUAAAAAUAAAAUUUGCU